UGUAUGUUGCUUAUAAUGAUGAGGAAUGGGGAGUUCCAGUUCAUGAUGACAGGAUGUUGUUUGAGUUGCUUGUUCUAACAAGAGCUCAAGUGGGGAUGGACUGGACUACUAUACUGAAGAAGAGGAAUGAAUUCAGGGUGGCAUUUGCUGAAUUUGAUGCAGAGUCUGUCUCCAAGUUCAUAGAGAAGCAGAUGGUUUCCAUCAGUGUGGAACUGAAGCUGGAUUUAGGAAGAGUUAGAGGAAUAUCACUAUCUACUUUGAAACAGAAUUAGUGUUAAUUUUG